rnacentral:rRNA from 1 species
AUGGCGGGGUACCCGGAGGACAACCAGCACGCCAUGAACGGGUACGAGGAUGAGGUCGAAGAAGUGGAGGAGGUCGACGAGGAGGGCCGCCCGGGCCGGAGGGGGCGGCGAGAUGGGGGCGAUGGUGGCGGCUAUGGCGACGCCGGUGGGGAUGACGGGAGGGCUGGGGGCGGUGACUCGUCGGGGAAGAUUUUCGUCGGAGGCGUUGCAUGGGAGACAACUGAAGAAUCAUUCUCCAAGCAUUUUGGGAAGUAUGGGGCUAUAACUGAUUCUGUAAUUAUGAAGGACAAGCAUACUAAGAUGCCUCGUGGAUUUGGAUUUGUUACAUUUUCUGAUCCAUCUGUAAUAGACAAGGUUUUGGAGGAUGAACACAAUAUAGAUGGAAGAACGGUUGAAGUCAAAAGGACAGUCCCGAGGGAAGAAAUGUCCUCAAAAGAUGGCCCCAAGACAAGAAAGAUCUUUGUUGGUGGGCUACCUUCGACACUAACCGAAGAUGAUUUGAGGGAUCACUUUUCCUCGUAUGGCAACGUGGUUGAACAUCAGAUAAUGGUGGAUCACAGCACUGGGCGUUCAAGAGGUUUUGGUUUUGUCACUUUUGAAAGUGAGGAUUCUGUCGAAAGGGUCAUAUCUGAGGGAAGAAUGCGUGAUCUUGGUGGGAAGCAGGUUGAAAUAAAGAAGGCUGAACCAAAGAAACAUGGAGGUGAUCACAGUAGCAAUGGGAGAUCUAGUCACUCUGGUGGUGGUGGUUACCGUAGUUCUUACCGUAGUGGUGGAGCUGCUGGUGGUGGUGGCAGUAGCAGCGGUGGUGGUGGUGGUGGUGGCUAUGGCUAUGGUGCUGGUCAUCGAUCUGCUGCUGCAGGAAGUUAUUAUGAUAGCACGGGAUAUGGUUAUGGUAGAGGAGGCUAUGGCGCCGCCGCUGCUGCUGCCGCCUAUGGAGGCAAUGCUGGAUAUGGAUCUGGUUUUGGUGGUGGCUAUGGUGGCUCUAUGUACGGUGGUGCUUAUGGUGCAUACGGAGCAUAUGGAGGCGGUGCCUAUGGUGCGGGUGCUUACGGAGGCGGUGCCUAUGGUGCGGGUGCUUACGGAGGUGGCGCCUAUGGUGCUGGUGGAUAUGGUGCUGGUGGAUAUGGUAGUUAUGGGGGAGCAGGAGCAGGGGCGGGGGGUGCUGCUGGUGGUGGUGGUGGGAGUGCAGGUGGUCGGGGCUCUAGCAGGUACCAUCCCUAUGGGAAAUGA